UACGUAGGGCGCAAGCGUUGUCCGGAAUUAUUGGGCGUAAAGAGCUCGUAGGCGGUGUGUCACGUCGUUCGUGAAAACCUGCAGCUUAACUGUGGGCGUGCGGUCGAUACGGGCAUCACUGGAGUUCGGCAGGGGAGACUGGAAUUCAUGGUGUAGCAGUGAAAUGCGUAGAGAUCAUGAGGAAGACCAGUGGCGAAGGCGGGUCUCUGGACAGUUCCUGACACUGAGGCACGAAGGCCAGGGGAGCAAACGGG
rnacentral:rRNA from 1 species